AUUGAACGCUGGCGGCAGGCCUAACACAUGCAAGUCGAACGAGGGGCGAACGGGUGAGUAAUGUCUGGGAAAUGGCUUGAUGGAGGGGGAUAAUUACGGGAAACGUUAGCUAAUACCGCAUACCAUCGGUGGUGCCCGGAUGGGAUUGGCUAGUGGGUGGGGUAAGGGCUCACCUAGGCGACGAGCCCUAGCUGGUCGGAGAGGAUGACCAGCCACACGGGAACGGUGACACGGUCCAGACUCCUACGGGAGGCAGCAGUGGGGAAUAUUGCACAAUGGGCGCAAGCCUGAUGCAGCCAUGCCGCGUGUAUGAAGAAGGCCUUCGGGUUGUAAAGUACUUUCAGCGGGGAGGCGUUACCCGCAGAAGAAGCACCGGCUAACUCCGUGCCAGCAGCCGCGGUAAUUC
rnacentral:rRNA from 1 species